rnacentral:tRNA from 1 species
GCUGCCGUAGCACAGUGGUAGUGCACCCCCUUGGUAAGGGGGAGGUCAUGAGUUCAAAUCUCAUCGGUAGCU